rnacentral:tRNA from 6 species
GGGGAUAUAGCUCAGUUGGUAGAGCGCUGCGUUCGCAAUGCAGAAGUCAGGGGUUCGAGUCCCCUUAUCUCCACCA